rnacentral:rRNA from 1 species
AUACGUAGGGAGCGAGCGUUGUCCGGAAUUACUGGGCGUAAAGGGCGCGUAGGCGGCGCUUCAAGUCGUCUGUCAAAUGGGAGGGCUUAACCCUUUUUCGCAGACGAAACUGGAGAGCUUGAGAAGCAGAGAGGCAAACAGAAUUCCUGGUGUAGCGGUGAAAUGCGUAGAUAUCAGGAAGAAUACCAGUGGCGAAGGCGGUUUGCUGGCUGCAUGCUGACGCUGAAGCGCGAAAGCCAGGGGAGCGAACGGGAUUAGAUACCCCGGUAGUCCUGGCAGUAAACGAUGUAUGCUGGGUGUGAGACUAGCGAUAGUUUCGUGCCGAAGUUAACGCGAUAAGCAUACCGCCUGGGGAGUACGGUCGCAAGAUUGAAACUCAAAUGAAUUGACGGGG